rnacentral:RNase_P_RNA from 1 species
AAAGUAAACCGGGCAAUCGCCGGUGGAUACCGCAAGGUUCCACGGGAGGAAAGUCCGAGCUCCGCAGGGCAGGGUGCCGGCUAACAGCCGGUGGGGGCAACCCUAAGGCUAGUGCCACAGAAAUGCAGACCGCCGAUGGAAGCGCCCAGGCGCUUCACAGGCAAGGAUGCAACGGUGCGGUAAGAGCGCACCAGCAGCAUGGAGACAUGUUGGCUAGGUAAACCCCACCUGGAGCAAGACCUUAAGGGGAUCAGCGCAUCAGCGCAGCUGUAGCCCGCAGUGAUCCCGGGUUGGUCGCUGGAGCGGUGCAGCAAUGCACCGCCUAGACAGAUGAUUGCCGCUCCAAUCAGUGGGAGGCGAAGCGACGUCAGCCGUCUAACCACUGGGAGAACAGAACUCGGCUUAUGGUUUGCUUUCCUC